AAGACGGUCUUGCUGUCACUUAUAGAUGGAUCCGCGCUGCAUUAGCUAGUUGGUAAGGUAACGGCUUACCAAGGCAACGAUGCAUAGCCGACCUGAGAGGGUGAUCGGCCACACUGGAACUGAGACACGGUCCAGACUCCUACGGGAGGCAGCAGUAGGGAAUCUUCCGCAAUGGGCGAAAGCCUGACGGAGCAACGCCGCGUGAGUGAUGAAGGUCUUCGGAUCGUAAAACUCUGUUAUUAGGGAAGAACAUAUGUGUAAGUAACUGUGCACAUCUUGACGGUACCUAAUCAGAAAGCCACGGCUAACUACGUGCCAGCAGCCGCGGUAAUACGUAGGUGGCAAGCGUUAUCCGGAAUUAUUGGGCGUAAAGCGCGCGUAGGCGGUUUUUUAAGUCUGAUGUGAAAGCCCACGGCUCAACCGUGGAGGGUCAUUGGAAACUGGAAAACUUGAGUGCAGAAGAGGAAAGUGGAAUUCCAUGUGUAGCGGUGAAAUGCGCAGAGAUAUGGAGGAACACCAGUGGCGAAGGCGACUUUCUGGUCUGUAACUGACGCUGAUGUGCGAAAGCGUGGGGAUCAAACAGGAUUAGAUACCCUGGUAGUCCACGCCGUAAACGAUGAGUGCUAAGUGUUAGGGGGUUUCCGCCCCUUAGUGCUGCAGCUAACGCAUUAAGCACUCCGCCUGGGGAGUACGACCGCAAGGUUGAAACUCAAAGGAAUUGACGGGGACCCGCACAAGCGGUGG
rnacentral:rRNA from 1 species